CAAUAGCGUAUAUUAAAGUUGUUGCAGUUAAAAAGCUCGUAGUUGGAUUUCUGGUUGGAGCGACCGGUCGGGCAUUGAUUUGUCUGCACUGGAGUCGGUUCUGGCCAUCCUCUUGGAAAGUGCGUCUGUCAUUAAGUUGUCGGGCGUAUGAUCCAGGUCUUUUACUGUGAAAAAAUUAGAGUGUUUAAAGCAGGCCUUCGCCUUGAAUACAUUAGCAUGGAAUAAUAAGAUAGGACUUUGGUCUAUUUUGUUGGUUUGCAGACCGAAGUAAUGAUUAAUAGGGAUAGUUGGGGGUAUUUAUAUUCCAAUGUCAGAGGUGAAAUUCUUGGAUUGUGUUACGACGAACUACUGCGAAAGCAUUUGCCAAGGAUGUUUUCAUUGAUCAAGAACGAAAGUAAGGGAUCGAAGACGAUUAGAUACCGU
rnacentral:rRNA from 1 species